UGGGGAAUCUUGCGCAAUGGGCGAAAGCCUGACGCAGCGACGCCGCGUGCGGGAAGAAGGUCUUCGGAUUGUAAACCGCUUUCAGGGGGGAAGAAGCGAGAGUGACGGUACCCCCAGAAGAAGCCCCGGCCAACUACGUGCCAGCAGCCGCGGUAAUACGUAGGGGGCGAGCGUUGUCCGGAAUUAUUGGGCGUAAAGAGCUCGUAGGCGGUCCGGUAAGUCGGAUGUGAAAUCUCAGGGCUCAACCCUGAAACUGCAUCUGAUACUGUCGGACUUGAGGCAGGUAGGGGAGGGUGGAAUUCCUGGUGUAGCGGUGAAAUGCGCAGAUAUCAGGAGGAACACCAACGGCGAAGGCAGCCCUCUGGGCCUGUACUGACGCUGAGGAGCGAAAGCGUGGGGAGCAAACAGGAUUAGAUACCCCCGUAGUCC
rnacentral:rRNA from 1 species